rnacentral:rRNA from 1 species
AUGUAUAACGCUCCGUCGGGGCAGGAGAUGUCCUACACGGACCAUGUGCAGAAGCGCCACGAGGAGAAGGGCUGCAUCUACGCAUGCGUGUUCACGGCGUUGUGCUGCUUCUGCUGCUACGAGACGUGCGAGUGCUGCCUCGACUGCCUCUGCUGCUGCUGCAACUAA